GGGUGCGAUCGUACCAGCACUAAUGCACCGGAUCCCAUCAGAACUCUGAAGUUAAACGUGCUUGGGCGAGAGUAGUACUAAAAUGGGUGACCUCUUGGGAAGUCCUCGUGUUGCACCCC
rnacentral:rRNA from 1 species